rnacentral:rRNA from 1 species
AAACCAGCACCUCAAGUGGUCAGGAUGAUUAUUGGGCCUAAAGCAUCCGUAGCCGGCUCAGUAAGUUUUCGGUUAAAUCUGUACGCUCAACGUACAGGCUGCUGGGAAUACUGCAGAGCUAGGGAGUGGGAGAGGUAGACGGUACUCGGGAGGAAGUGGUAAAAUGCUUUGAUCUCUCGAUGACCACCUGUGGCGAAGGCGGUCUACCAGAACACGUCCGACGGUGAGGGAUGAAAGCUGGGGGAGCAAACCGGAUUAGAAACCCCGGUAGUCC